GUGCUCGCUACAGCAGCACAUAUAUUAAAACUGGAACAAGACAGAAGAUUAGCAUGGCCCCUGUGCAAGGAUGACACACAAAUUCAUGAAGUAUUCCAUAUUAAA
rnacentral:snRNA from 1 species